GUUUAGCCUGGGCUGCACGCAGUGAUGGUGCAAAAAGGACAAGUGCACGGCGACAGAGACGCAUAGAGCCCAUAUGUUCCCUGGCUUGUGUCGUAACUUCCCGGAGGCGUUGAGGUUGUUUGCCACUGUUGUGCCCCGGCCCUAUGGGGGCCAGCAUUGGACUGGAGGUGUCUGAUUGCCCCAGGGAUGCUCUGCCACGGCUGAGGGUUGGACGCUAAAAGGAAACCAUCCAAGGUCCUCGUCUCACUGAGCUCCACAGCUUGGAGGGAGAAUUCUCUUAGGGGAAGCGGACUCACUCCAAAGAGAUCAUGGCUUCGUCCCGACUAGCAAGAUCUAGAGACAUCGCCAAUGUCAUGCAACGGCUUCAAGAUCAGGAGAUCUGAACUUUGCUUCCCAACCACCAGCUACUACUAGUGUGAAUGAUUUCCAUGUAGCCUUGGUACAUAAAUGGAAGAGUCUGUCCUAUUUAGACCUGCUACAGCACUUCAUCAAUUCCAGCAUGGUUCUGCUUGAUUUUCUUCAGCCUUUUGUGCAUUUACUAAAUGUUCCCAUUCUGUUUUUAUGUCUGAUAAUUCUUAGGCCACAGUAUUGGACAAUGGCUGUUUAAACUGUCAGCAAACAUAGGAAAUAGAAGGGAAUAUUUCAUGCCCAGAGGAUUUAUGGUUUAAGCAUUAGACUAAGACACUCCAGGUAGAUUUAAAUGACGCUUUGCAAGGGCACAGUGAGGCAGCCUUGCCCACAGAGCAGGCAGGGGUCUGAGGACACAGUGUGUGUGUAUCACAGGGUACUAUACAUUUGUAUGAACUCAUGUUCUUAGCACGUAUUCCAGAAAAAAAAUACUGAGGGACUUCAAGCAAGAAAUGAAAUAAUUAUGAAACUGUGAGACCUUCGGAGGAAUAUGAAGAAAUGCAUGAGAGAAAUGGCAGGGGUACUCAAAGGUUAUGGAGACGUAUUGCAAAGGAAAGCAUCAGGGAGCUGAACUGUGUUCAGGGAGGAUUAUCCAGGCUGGUACUUUGAAGCAAUGUAUAAGGAGGAUGCUACAGAAGGUAUUUACAGAGUGUGGAGGCUAUUAAUUAUCAGACUGUGAUGUGCUAACUUUCUAAACAUCUGUAAAGUUAUGGCUGACACAAUGGCUGUUCUGUUUAUUUGCAUUUUGGGAGUUUUUACACUUUUUGUUCAUUUCUAUAUAUUUGGCUCUGAUGAAAUGUGAUACGUGGGUCAGUCUGCUAUAAUGUUUUUAUAUUAUUUUAUUUUUGGAAUUUCAGAAAAAAUAGUUACAUGAAUUCUGAAGUGAAGAAAUUUUAAAAGAAAACAUGUGAAAUGAAUGGAAAUUUGGCAUUGCAUGUUAAUUUCAAGUCAUACCUGUAAAUGGAUUAUUUUCUUCUCAGAUGAAAUCAGCUCAGCUUGGUAUUGAUGGGAUCUGAGUUUUGCUGCAGAUGCACUAUUUCAAUAAAUCACCUGUGCCAAAGCUAGAGUGCUUGGAGCCUAAAUCUUUUUUUUUUAGUCUGUA
rnacentral:lncRNA from 1 species